GGCGAUGACGACAAUUUCGCUAGCUGACCGGUGAUGACUACCCUCGCAACCGAGC
rnacentral:ncRNA from 19 species